GCUCCCCCCCCGGGCGCCGGGCAGGGCGGCGGGGGAGGCUCGGCCGGCGGCUCCACCAUGGCUCAGCCUGCAAGGGAGACAGCAGUGAGCGGGGCCACGGGGCCCAGCUUAAAUCUUCUUUGCUUUGAUAAAGAAGGACAAUGUGCUUGCUAAAGGACUUCCAGGAUGCACAGAAAGACCCAAGAAAGGCCUAGAGAAUCCUUGGGAGAAAGCUGAAGAGCUGCAGGUUGGUUGUGGUUUCAAAUUGUACAAGCAAAGAUUUUGAAUCGUGCUCAUCCCUCUGCUGAUGAAUGCACACAGUAAUGAUGCAUCCACAGCGAGUGGGCAAACUCCACCAAUAAAUCGUAUUGACUAAUCUGAUCUCAUUCAUUCAUCAUCGUCAUAGUCUGCAGGGGAUGGUUAUAAAGCAUGGUAAUUAGGUAUAUGAAAAAAUCCUCAGCUCUCUGCUCCCUGAAGAGCCCAGCUCACUGGCUGUUGGGGCUAACCAUUAAUACUAGCUGCCGCACCGGAGCUGUCAAUCCAUAGCUGUGCUCCCUCCUCGUGGAAAAUAUUAAUCUGGUAAGUGUAUAUGCCAGGUAAGGUGUGGGCUGCUCGGGGCUUUUGGCAGGUUGCUUCUUCAGCCUCCAGAGAGGCUGUAUUUGGGCCUUGACCUUUCAGGUUUCCCUGUGGAUCUUUAAGAUUCCCAUAAGUGCUCCCCGAAAUGCAAUCAGAAGGGGUUUUCUCAGCAGAUUUUAGAAGCAGCUGGAUAUGACUUUAGGGGACAUUAACUCACACUAUCCAAACUUGGACUCAUACCCCUACCUCAUAAAGAUUAAAAGACAUUUGGGAUGGGCAGGAGGAGUUUUCUGGAGGACCUGAGGAGAACCGCUGCUAGUGAGUCGUCUUCCCUCAUAUAAUUAUAAAACCUAAUUCUCUGUUGGUUAGAAAUGUCUAGAAAUAUAUGCACUCUGGCAGAGCAGUAUUAUAAGGUUACGUUCCCGCUUUAAUAAACAUUUUCCUUAUUUGCAUUACUGUUAAUGAUAGCAAGAGAUGCAGGGCAGUGGAAAAUUUAGACCACAGAUUGUGAGAGUGGAAAUACUUGUAUCACUUCAACUAAUUCUUCUGUAUGCUCUUCAUUGCACAUGUAUUAAUUACUCUAUUCCUAUAGAAUUUCAAAACUGGCCUUACCCAUGUUUUUUGCUGAGAGCCAUUUCACAACCUACUAGAACUCAUGGGUAAAAUGUUAUUAAUUUCAGCUUCAGUUUUUCCUCUUUUUCUUUUCUUCUCUAUUGAGUAAUUUGCCGUCCCUCCAGCCUGGCUUUAUGCUUUAUAAAUGUUUGUAAACUGUUUCCAUAUCCCCUCAGAGCCAAGGAAAACAUAAUGUCUUUGCAAAUUAAUUCCCUGUAGUUGCACAACAAGCUAUCGCCUUUCUUCUGGUCUCCUCCCAGUGUGUCAGGCUCUCCCAGUAGCUGCUGACCUGAACAGCGCAAUGGGCUCCUGCCCAGCACUUACCUCCUUCCUCCUCUCUUGCAUCUCCUAAAAUCCCCUUCUCUAAUUUGUCAGCUCUUCUAAGGUUUGCUCAACACAGUUUGACUUUCCAGAACUGUUCCCACCUCUGCCAUGGUGAGUGUUAGUUGGUGAAUUAUUUCCUCCUUGCUAAAUAACUUUGGUUUUACAGGUUGAAUCCUGUCUCUGUCUAAUUUGCAAUUUCUACUCUUUCUUUCUCAGGCUGUGUUUACACUGUUGUUGGGAGGACCCUGACCUAGCUAUUGCAUAGCUUCUCCAGCUCUCAGCCUACUCUGUCCUGUUUAGACUCUUCCUGGUUUUGCACCAGAAUAUUCCUGUUCUUUCCUGAGCACUGGGAAUGGGGGAAGGAGACAGCCCUGGGGAGGGGAGAGUACAGCCCCAUAGAUUUUAGGCUAUGGGCUGCUGGUAUCUCCCAGGCUCAGGGUUUUUCGCUUUCUAGCUGCUGUUGGAGCACAGGCACUCAACACCUCCCUGAGCAUGUUCCUUCCCUGCCGAGAGGCAGCUCCUGCACCCCUCCCAGACAUACCAGAACCUUUGCAGCACACCUUUCUGCUGUCAGCUGGAUAGUUUGAGAACUAGUUUAAAAGUUUAGUGAGGCACUGAGUUUAAGGUUUACUGAUUACUAUCCGCAUGAUACCCUUGGUCACUUCUCUGUGAACAGCCCUUUGCCACGUGCCAUAAUCCUUUGUUUCACAGUCCUGCAGUCCCUCCACCCAAGUGAUUUUACAGCCCACCCUGAGCUAAUGCUGAACAUGAAGUCUCAAGAGACUUUACAUGCUGGGCUUGCCUGGUAGCCAAGGACUGAAACCCAGCAUGCUGAAGGAAGGAAUCUCACCAAGAAGACACAAUGAGGAAGGAGAUAAGAUAAAGACCAUCAGGCGCUUAUGGAGACA